rnacentral:rRNA from 1 species
GACGAACGCUGGCGGCGUGCUUAACACAUGCAAGUCGAACGAAGUGGCGAACGGGCGAGCAACGCGUAAUCAACCUGCCCUUCUGCGGGGGACAACAGUUGGAAACGACUGCUAAUACCGCAUACUGAAGGAGGGGACUGCGUCUGAUUAGCUAGUUGGAGGGGGAACGGCCCACCAAGGCGAUGAUCAGUAGCCGGUCUGGGAGGAGGAACGGCCACAUUGGGGCUGGGACACGGCCCAGACUCCUACGGGGGGCAGCGGUGGGGAAACUUUCGCAAUGGACGAAAGUCUGACGGAGCAACGCCGCGUGAGUGAUAACGGGCUUCGGGUUGUAAAGCUCUGUUAAUCGGGACGCGGUACCGGAAUAGAAAGCCACGGCUAACUACGUGCCAGCAGCCGCGGUAAUUC